AUCACUCCAACCCCUGCCCUCACACUCACACGGUGCUCUCCCCUGCACAUGUGUCUGUGUCUCGUCUUUUUUUUUUUUUUUUUUUUGAGAUGGAGUCUCAUUCUGUCACCCGGGCUGGAGUACAGAGGUGCAAUCUCAGCUCACUGCAACCUCCGCCCCCCAGGUUCAAGCAAUUCUCCUGCCACAGCCUCCUGAAUAGCUGGGAUUACAGGUCACAUUCGUGGUACCAGAGAUGAGAACUUCAACAUUAUCUUUCUGAGGGAUACAACUCAACCCUGAACACCUGCUUACACAGGAAACGCACAGAGCGCCACAAGACAUCCAGCCACCGGACUGUGGGAAUAAGCUGCCAUUUCUGAACAGAUUAUCUGAAAACAUUCAUGGCUGUCUCUGAAGUGCUGAGGUUAAUCAGAGUCCUUGAAGAAGAGGUGAAGCAAUGAACUGAUGUAGAGAAAAGAGCAUCAGGCCAAGGGGCAGCUGACCAAGGCUUUCGGCACAGAUCUGUGGGUUUUACCAAGUCACUUUCACUGGACCCCAGAUUCUUCAUGUAUAAACCAAGAUCAUCUUCCAGGAUCCCAGCAAAAAGAACUCUAUCAGAGUAUGAUGGGGGACCACAUCAGUCAAAUCCAGGUACAGAUGCUGGACUGGAGCAUCAAGAAGCCACUGCUGGCUGGGCACGGUGGCUCAUGCCUGUAAUCCCAGCAUUUUGGGAGGCGAGGCGGGUGGAUCACGAGGUCAGGAGUUCGAGACCAGCCUGGCCAACAGGGUGAAACCCCGUCUCUACUAAGAAUACAAAAAUUAGAUGGGUGUGGUGGCGGACGCCUGUAAUCCCAGCUACUUGGGAGGCUGAGACAGGAGAAUCGCUUGAAACCAGAAGGCAGAGGUUGCAGUGAGCUGAGAUUGCACCACUGCACUCCAGCCUGGGCAACAGGAGUGAAACUCCAUCUCAAAAAAAAAAAAAAACUUAAAAUGAGAAAUAUGCUGCAGUAGACUUUUUUUUUUUUUCCUUAUUUGUUAGUGCACAAAUCCGGUCCAAGUCAGUUAAAGCUAUGGAAAAUCAGCGACUGCCGUGGCCUUUUUCUCCAUAAAUUUCUGGGCAGCAAGAAUCUCUGCUGUGACUAUGCACAAUAGCAAAGUCAUGGAAUCAACCUAAGUCCCAUUAAUGACAGAUUGCAUAAAGAUGUGGUACAUAUACACCAUGGAAUACUAUGCAGCCAUAAACAUAAAUGAGAUCAUGUCUUUUACGGGAACAUGGAUGGAGCUGGAGGCCAUUAUCCUCAGUAAACUAACACAGGAACAGAAAACCAAAUACCAUAUGUUCUCACUUAUAAGUGGGGGCUAAAUGAUGAGAACACAUGGACACAUAGUAGGGAGCAACACACACUGGGGCCUAUCAGAGCGUGGAGGGUGGGAGGAGGGAGAGGAUCAGGAAAAAACUAUUGGUUACUAGGCUUAGUACCUAGGUGGUGAAAUAAUCUGUACAACAAACCCCCGUGACAUGAGUUUAUCUAUAUAACAAACCUGCACAUGUACCCCCAAACCUAAAAUAAAAGUUAAAAAAAAAAAAAAAAAGAAUCCCUGCUGUGGAGACCGGGGCUCUCCAAGAACCUCUAGGGCAUCAGAAGGAAGCACUUGACUCCUUUGUCUGUGCUGUGGCUAGGCUCAGAAACGUCUGAGGACCCCCUACCACCUCAGGGGGAAAGUCCGGGCUCCCUGGCACUCAAAACCCCCCAGUCUAGCUCAGCCUACCUUCCCAAACUUAUUUCCCUCUCUAUCCCACUGUGACCCUUUGUUUUAGCCAAUUAGAGUAAAGGAGGAGCAAGGAAGUAUCAGACCUUGGCUAAAAAUAUCUGGCUGUGUCAACUUAGCAAGCUACUGAACCUCUCUGAGCUUCAGUUUCCCCAUCUGCAAAGAGCAUAUAAUACCUGCUAAUAGUUGUUAAAAAGAUGUAAGACCAUGGAUACAAAUGCCUCACACGACUCCAAACAGCACCCAACAGGUCCUAUGGAAAUGUCACUUCCCACCUUCACACUCAGUCUUCCCCCUUAUGCGUCCCUACCUCUGGCCAAGCCACGUCUGAUGACUCAAGGGACCUCCUCUCUCCCUGUCGCCAGCCCCAGUCUGACUAUCCUGAAGGAACCAGCUAAUAAAAUGCUGUCUUCAGGAUUCUUCCAGUGGCACUGCUAAACCUUAGGAGUCCCCUUCUCCUUUGGCUUCCCCAACCACAUAAUUCUGGCCAUUGCCCAAUCCCCUGGCAACUGGCAGAAGCCACUCUGUAGCCUUCCUGGUCUCUUUUUAUUUUGUUGAGUAUCCUCCACCAGAGUUUUGUCAUCCCCAGUCCCCAGGAGAGAGUAAUUAUAUUUUCCCCUAUUUUGAAAAUAACGCAAUGAUGCGGGCUAGUGCAUAACAGUCAGCAAGAACUAUUACCAAACCUCCUGAUCUUGACUAUUAGGACAACUUGGACAGCUGACAUUUAUUUCUGUCUGGAUCGGGGGCUAGAGUUCAUAAUUUCUGGUAAUCGCUCAACCCUGUGAUUACGGGCACUUUGAGGGCAGCUGAAAGGGAGAAGUAGUCACCAAAGAAAAGCUUUGCUAGUUUGGGAAUUGCCAGCCCCCAAUUUAUAAACUUGGAAUGAAAGAAAGAUGAAGGCACCAUGGAGAUGACAAGAAAACGGAGGUUCAAGAUAGUCCCAAUGUUCUCUGGCAUGUUAAUCCUCAUCAGCUAGAAGAGGUAUUCUGAGGGGACAGAGGGAAAAAGAAAACACAAAAUAUUCCAAAGUUCCAUAUUACUUUUCUUUUCAUUAGUACUGGGCUGGGCACGGUGGCUUAACACCUGUAAUCCCAGCACUUUGGAAGGCUGAAGCGGCCAGAUCACCUGAGGUCGGGAGUUCAAGACCAGCCUGACCAACAUGGAGAAACCCUGUCUCUACUAAAAAUACAAAAUUAGCCGCGCAUGGUGGCACAUGCCUGUAAUCCCAGCUACUCGGGAGGCUAAGCAGGAGAAUCGCUUGAACCCGGGAGGCGGAGGUUGUGGUGAGCCAAGAUUGUGCCAUUGCACUCCAGCCUGGGCAACAAGAGUAAAACUUCAUCUCAAAUCAGUCAAUCAAUCAAUAAAAUGGUCUUCAAAUGAUCAAAGGCUUUCCUGAAUUUUUUUGUUGUUGUUGCAGAUAUGUUUCAGACUCAAGCCCCAGCCCAACCCCAGAUGAAGGGAUUUUCCGAGCAGCUAUCUUGAUCCGGCGCACGGGCCCCUGUUCUGACCAGGGCUGAACACUUGGCCGAGGAAAAGGACAAGUCCUAGUAUCUAAAAUGAUGACAAAGACAAGGCACAGAGAUGAUGGUGCUGAUGCCACUGGGCACCGGAACCAUCACAUCACAGGGACUGGCACCAACAUCCCAGCAGGGCAAGCCAACAGUGUGAGAAGGCAGGAAUCAAGAUCACACAGAGGGAGCUGGGCUGCAAAGAGGAGGCUGGAACAGAUCCUCAGAGAAAGGCAGAGAUGAGUGUCCACGUGGCCGCAGAGGAACAGAGGAGGCAGUUCCAAUGGCCGUGGACCUGAGAUAUGCUUUGUUGCUCUCUGACACUGCUCCCGCUCCAUGGGACUGGCUGUUAUGUUUUUGGGACAAAUACCCUUUUACUUAAGCCAACUCAAGUGACUCUCUUGUCCUUGCAACCAAAUGUACCCUUGACUAUCACAUUCUCCUUUGAGCUAAACUAAAUAAAUUCUGCCAGGAGAUCCCUCUUAUAAUCUAUUUCAACUGACAGCGACUACUUUUGUCUGAUUUAUUACAGCUGUAAGCCCUUCCUUCUGGAAGGGGGAGGGGCUGCGAUCUCUUUUAAAGCUAGACCAAUUUUACACUGGCAGGGGCCGUGUGUGCGGCUCUACAUUACAGCGCCCUACAGGAUGCAUCUAAACUAGUUUGGUCAGCUUAUCCAUUCCCUGAAAGCAAGGAAGCCGCCACAUCAGUAACUCCGUUGCUAAGGCAACUGCUUACUUUCCAUAUCAACUGCAAACUCGUUGCUAUGGAGACACAUAUACAAGAAAAAUUCCUCUUUCCAUCCAGGGACCAGAUGGCAGAGAACUCGCAGAAGCCAUGGGUUAGGGGGCUUUGCUAAGUAAGAUGUUUACUGGAGUACAUUUCUCUCCUGAUAUCAGAGAUGCGGCUGCCCCAAGCACAUUUAGAAGGUGCACUCUUGGUACAAAAGUUAAGGUUUGUUCUCUUCCGCCUGCAAAACUACAGCCAGCAACUAGAGGUGAUACCUGAAUGUAUCCGGAUUGACGAUCUUCAUCCCUGGAAAACAUGACUCCCAGAAUCCAGCGGUGGGGGAGGGGGGGGUCGCAUGGCGGGAGAACAGCUCCUCCCAGUGUGCCUCAACACAGGGCAUCCAACACCCACUUGUCACUCCCAAGGCUGACUGAUGAAUAAUGUUCCCAAGUCUCGCUGCA